UAGCCAUACACAAAGUAUCCAAAUGCACUAUACAGCACCAGAGCACUCACUCAUGCUCCCUUAUACAUCCGACUCAACCUCUUAUGCUACAGAAUGAACUUCUAUUGGCCCAAAUUACUCAUCAAAGGUUGAUCAGGUCUGUUUUGCCUCUGCGUUCAACAUUUGCACCACUGAAGACUCUUUCACCGCAAUAUCGACCCUUAUCUCAAUCGAGUAUUUUUGCCUUUGGUGAUGCACGUGGUCCCUCGUUUUGCCAUAUCAUUGUGCUACAUUAUUUAGAAUAUGAUAGUAUCUACACUUCAAAAAUCCAUAAAAAAUAAAUCUCUCGAAAAUUAUAUACUUAACUGAUGGUGUAUACAUGGUCAUAAUUCAAUAGGUUAAAAUAAAACUUGGCCACGAAUCGUCUGAAUGGAAUGCAUUUACUAGGAAAGCGGCUGUUCAGUCAAAAAAAGAUCUCAAUGGAGCAUAGAAGGCUUUAUUUAAAAGAUCAGGGAAUAAAAACCUUUAUAGAUGAGAGGGAGUUCCGACUAUUAGAUUAGGAAUCGUGCAGCAAAACGGGAAGUGUCGCUUCACGAUCUUCAUUCCGUAUAAUUCUAAAUUUCUAACAAUAUUCUCUGCUACUGUAAACUGAUAAUUACUGUUAGCUGAAGAAGCAAAGUAAAU
rnacentral:lncRNA from 1 species